rnacentral:tRNA from 5 species
CCUUUUGUUACCAAACAUUUGGGGGUUAGCCCUAGUCCAUCCAUAUCCCUUAGGGAUCAGGAGGAC